rnacentral:rRNA from 1 species
UACGUGGGGGGCAAGCGUUGUUCGGAAUUACUGGGCGUAAAGGGCUCGUAGGCGGCCAAUUAAGUCAGACGUGAAAUCCCUCGGCUUAACCGGGGAACUGCAUCUGAUACUGGAUGGCUUGAGUUCGGGAGAGGGAUGCGGAAUUCCAGGUGUAGCGGUGAAAUGCGUAGAUAUCUGGAGGAACACCGGUGGCGAAGGCGGCAUCCUGGACCGACACUGACGCUGAGGAGCGAAAGCCAGGGGAGCAAACGGG